CAGCUGAGUGCAGCCAUUGCACUUCCAAUCUCUGUGGCUGUUUCUUUGUCUCUGCAGUAUAAACAAUGACCCUCAUUCCUCCAACAGAGGCCAAGCAUCUGGAGAGUGCCCAGACCACAGCCUCUUUAGAAAGCAAAGUUUUUUGUGUACAGUGAACAUGUCAUAAAGGGAGGUUUUGAUCUACUCUGUUGUUUUCAUGAACAACCGACUGUUUUUUAAACAUAACGUAAAAAUCUCUUUCUGUCAGCAUCUGUGCUUUUUUGAGGUAUUUUUGAUUUCAGCUCCAAUGUUUUGCUUUACUGAACACAGUGUCAUGGGGAAGAGCGGGUUCCUGGUGGGACACCCUCGGGCCGUGCACUGAGGUGCUGCAGGCUGGGAAAGCCCUUUGGUGGUGAUCAGCAGCUGGACCUCAGUGGCUCCCUGAGCUGCUCAGCUGAUCAGAAACCUCCAUCAGAGAUGUUGUUCAGAUUCACGCUCUCCCUGUGCCAGCCCAAGUGCCAAGUGUGUCACCAAGUGUCCCCAACACCUCCCUCUCUGCACUCCCCUCACUGCACUGCUGCCCAAGCAGGAAGGAGUCCACUUGAGACCAGAACUGAAGUUUUCAUUGCACCUGAUGCUGACGACUGAUCAUGGAAAAGCAGGGUUCUCUGUCUGGCUGCUUCCCUGUGACAGUCCUGAAGGAAGCUACCUUCCCUUCCCUCAGUCCUGAAGGAAGUCAGGCUGGAAGCCUCUCUCACCAGUUCACAGGAAGGUAGUGCUGACUUCUGGAAACACAAUGAAAUAGGGAAGGACUGUGCUGUGGUUUGCCAGAGCUCUUUUUUUUCCUGAUGGACAUCUUCUUCAUUUGUUUUAGCCUUUCAAAAGCAACUUGAUGCACUCCAGGCAACGAUCCUCAUCCUUCAGCAUGUUGUCAAGGUGCUCACUGCCAGCCUUCAGCUCCAUUUCCAGAGGCACUGUGGUCAUGGCCAAGGAGAGCUGGAGGUGAUUCUGGAGGGCCUUCUGGAGCGCUCCGUCCCGGUAACUGCGCAGGAAGCGGCGGCAGUUCUCCUGCCUGCAGAACUUGAGCUGCACUAUCAGCUGGGGGUGGCUGCAGUGCACCUUCAGCAUGUCCACACCGUUCAUGCUGCCCGUGGAGUCUGGCAGGGAGAAGUGAGCAGAGUCACUAUCCAGGCAUGAGACAGCCCACCCAGACCCACUCCCAUCCACCACCAAGCCUGCAAUGGAGCAGCUUUUGAAUUCUCUUUGUGACAGAGUUCUCUGGGAUGAAAACCCUGCACGUAAAACCAAGAGGGAAGGAUUAAGUUCUCACUGCCCUGCCACCAUGGAUCUCCACGAAGUAUGGUGUCCAACUGAAGAUUGAGGACAAGCUUUCCCUGCCCAUGAAUGUGAGAUUAGAGAAAGGCCUGGCAUUGUGUGAAGAGAGGAGGCAGCAGACCAAGAUAUGAGAGAGAACAGAUACCUGCUAAUGCCAGCUUCAGUGCCCUGAACACACCGGGCUUCUCCUGGGAGCUCUCGUAGAGGGACGGCAGAACGACGGUCUUGCUCGUUGACUGCAGGAAGAGGUAAGCACUGCCAAUCCAGGGAGCGGAGCUGCCUGCCAUCUUCAGCACCCUACAAAAUCACACAGCCAGCUGAGAGACCAUAGGGAAAAUGGCCUGA